rnacentral:rRNA from 1 species
GAUGAACGCUGGCGGCGUGCCUAAUACAUGCAAGUCGAGCGAACAGACGAGGAGCUUGCUCCUCUGACGUUAGCGGCGGACGGGUGAGUAACACGUGGAUAACCUACCUAUAAGACUGGGAUAACUUCGGGAAACCGGAGCUAAUACCGGAUAAUAUAUUGAACCGCAUGGUUCAAUAGUGAAAGACGGUUUUGCUGUCACUUAUAGAUGGAUCCGCGCCGCAUUAGCUAGUUGGUAAGGUAACGGCUUACCAAGGCAACGAUGCGUAGCCGACCUGAGAGGGUGAUCGGCCACACUGGAACUGAGACGCGGUCCAGACUCCUACGGGAGGCAGCAGUAGGGAAUCUUCCGCAAUGGGCGAGAGCCUGACGGAGCAACGCCGCGUGAGUGAUGAAGGUCUUCGGAUCGUAAAACUCUGUUAUUAGGGAAGAACAAAUGUGUAAGUAACUAUGCACGUCUUGACGGUACCUAAUCAGAAAGCCACGGCUAACUACGUG